GACGAACGCUGGCGGCGUGCUUAACACAUGCAAGUCGAGCGGAAAGGCCCCUUUGGGGGUACUCGAGCGGCGAACGGGUGAGUAUCACGUGAGUAAUCUGCCCUUCACUUGGGGAUAACCUCCGGAAACGGUGGCUAAUACCCGAUAUGACCAUGUCACGCAUGUGGUGUGGUGGAAAGAUUUUUUGGUGGGGGAUGUGCUCGCGGCCUAUCAGCUUGUUGGUGGGGUAAUGGCCUACCAAGGCUUCGACGGGUAGCCGGCCUGAGAGGGUGACCGGCCACACUGGGACUGAGACACGGCCCAGACUCCUACGGGAGGCAGCAGUGGGGAAUAUUGGACAAUGGGCGGAAGCCUGAUCCAGCAACGCCGCGUGAGGGAUGACGGCCUUCGGGUUGUAAACCUCUUUCACCACCGACGAAGCGCGAGUGACGGUAGGUGGGGAAGAAGCACCGGCCAACUACGUGCCAGCCGCCGCCGUAACAC
rnacentral:rRNA from 1 species